rnacentral:rRNA from 1 species
GAGCGGUUCGCUGCCCGCGACGUCGUGAGAAGUCCACUGAACCUUAUCAUUUAGAGGAAGGAGAAGUCG